AUGGCUCCAGUCACCAGCCAGCCCAUCACUCAUUUUGUAGUUUACAUGGUGGGGCACCUGAAUGCACCUAUAAACUGUGGGCUGAAUCCAGCAGACGUGGAAGAGACGAAAGGACAAAGCAUGGAACACAGACAGCCAUGACUUCUGACAGAUGUUAGUAAUACAGGACGCCAUGAGGCAGACAUAGAUAUGAUUGUCCUUUUGGAAGCACAAAAUGAAAGAAAGAUGAAGGGCCAUCUCUUUCUUUUUUUUCAAAACCUCAGACCCAAUUUCUGUUUAUAGAAAAACUUGUACGUGCCUUUUGGAUAAAUGUAGUUUAUAGGAAAAGAUUCUUGUGUACGUGGAAACCAUUAUGAAGAAAGUCACUGAUUUAAGAACAACAUAUGCGUGUUUACCUACCAACAUUUCAAUAGUAAAUUCCAUUUUAGCCCAAGAUGUUGAUGGGGAAAGGCAGUGUCUUAAAAGCUAAGGGUAGCUUGAAAGAGAAAAAUGGAAUCUCGUGAUCCGACCAAGCAGGGUCCUCCAGCACUGCACAGAUAGACGCACAUCGGGGCCGAUCCCACUGGAACAAAGCUCUGCCCACAACCCAGCUCAGUGACUGGCCUGGCAUCAAUCCCAACACCAAAUUAUUCUCAACCAAGAAGACUAGAGAUCUCCAGUAGGAACUCCAAUAUGUGAGAGCUUUUUGAACCAAAGUCUUAAGUGUGUUAGCCAGUAUUUUUCUCCAUCCUUGUAGAGUUCCUUUCUUGAGAACCUUGCUCUGUUCAUGCCAGAGCAGACCUGGCGGGGAGCUUGCACCUGCCACAGCAUUUACUUGUAUCUUCUGCACGCCUGAGGCAGCCUCGACAUGGACCAGAAGGCUUGGAGGCUUUCCCGUCUUUCAUUUGCCCUGGAUCUCAGGAGACAGUACACUGAGGGGUGUCUGAGGGAGAGAUAGAGGAGAGAAAGACAGUAAAAGAGAGGAAGAGAAGAAAGAUUUUGUUACUGGUGCCUAAAUAGCUUUUGGGGAAAAAAUAGUUGCUAUAUAAGACAUAAUAAGGUAUAGCACUGUUUUGAGAAGUUUUCUGUAUUAACGUAAUAAAUCUUUGGUUGGAAUGCUCACUCUAGGGGUUGCCAGGUAACCUUUUUAUGUGUUCGUAUAAUUU
rnacentral:lncRNA from 1 species